rnacentral:rRNA from 1 species
CUCAUAGCGUAUAUUUAAGUUGUUGCAGUUAAAAAGCUCGUAGUUGGAUUUCGGGCCCAGGCGGCCGGUCCGCCGUUUCGGUGUGCACUGGUCGGCUCGGUCUUUCUGCCGGGGACGCGCUCCGUCUUGACUGCCGGACGCGGAGUCGGCGACGUUACUUUGAAAAAAUUAGAGUGUUCAAAGCAGGCUUACGCUCUGAAUACUAUAGCAUGGAAUAACACGAUAGGACUCCGAGCCUAUUUUGUUGGUCUUCGGGACCGGAGUAGUGAUUAAGAGGGACAGUUGGGGGCAUUCGUAUUACGGUGUCAGAGGUGAAAUUCUUGGAUUUCCGUAAGACGAACUUCUGCGAAAGCAUUUGCCAAGGAUGUUUUCAUUAAUCAAGAGCGAAAGUUGGGGGCUCGAAGAUGAUCAGAUACCGUCGUAGUCUCAACCAUAAACGAUGCCGACUAGGGAUUGGAGGAUGUUAAUUCGAUGACUUCUCCAGCACCUUAAGAGAAAUCAAAGUUUUUGGGUUCCGGGGGGAGUAUGGUCGCAAGGCUGAAACUUAAAGGAAUUGACGGAAGGGCACCACCAGGCGUGGAGCCUGCGGCUUAAUUUGACUCAACACGGGGAAACUUACCAGGUCCAGACAUAGUAAGGAUUGACAGAUUGAGAGCUCUUUCUUGAUUCUAUGGGUGGUGGUGCAUGGCCGU